GAGAGGGGAGGGACGGCCGCCGCCUUCGAGGUGAGGAAAGUCCCCCCACCAUUUGGAUACGCAAAUGCCCGUGAGGGCAUACGGCGAGAGUCGUGGCAAUGGCACAGAAACGGCACGGCCGCGGGUUAAAGCGGUGAUCCGGGAACGGUGAGGUCGCCCGCGCGCCGAUGAAACGGUGAAUCCUUGCGGGUGCAAGCUGAAGCGGGCCAUAAAGGGGAGUCCAGACCCGGCCCCGGUAGAAGCGCAUAGAUGAAUGCCGUCGGCCUUCGGGCCAGGAACAUAAGGGGGCUUACUAUCCCGACUC
rfam:Methanocella paludicola SANAE DNA, complete genome.